AACGAACGCUGGCGGCAUGCCUAACACAUGCAAGUCGAACGAGACCUUCGGGUCUAGUGGCGCACGGGUGCGUAACGCAUGGGAACCUGCCCUUAGGUUCGGAAUAACUCCCCGAAAGGGGUGCUAAUACCGGAUAAUGUCUUCGGACCAAAGAUUUAUCGCCUUUGGAUGGGCCCGCGUUGGAUUAGCUAGUUGGUAGGGUAAAAGCCUACCAAGGCGACGAUCCAUAGCUGGUCUGAGAGGCUGAUCAGCCACACUGGGACUGAGACACGGCCCAGACUCCUACGGGAGGCAGCAGUGGGGAAUAUUGGACAAUGGGCGAAAGCCUGAUCCAGCAAUGCCGCGUGAGUGAUGAAGGCCUUAGGGUUGUAAAGCUCUUUUACCCGGGAUGAUAAUGACAGUACCGGGAGAAUAAGCUCCGGCUAACUCCGUG
rnacentral:rRNA from 1 species